rnacentral:rRNA from 1 species
UAUUGCACAAUGGGCGCAAGCCUGAUGCAGCGACGCCGCGUGAGGGAUGACGGCCUUCGGGUUGUAAACCUCUUUCAGUAGGGAAGAAGCGAAAGUGACGGUACCUGCAGAAGAAGCGCCGGCUAACUACGUGCCAGCAGCCGCGGUAAUACGUAGGGCGCAAGCGUUAUCCGGAAUUAUUGGGCGUAAAGAGCUCGUAGGCGGUUUGUCGCGUCUGCCGUGAAAGUCCGGGGCUCAACUCCGGAUCUGCGGUGGGUACGGGCAGACUAGAGUGAUGUAGGGGAGACUGGAAUUCCUGGUGUAGCGGUGAAAUGCGCAGAUAUCAGGAGGAACACCGAUGGCGAAGGCAGGUCUCUGGGCCUUAACUGACGCUGAGGAGCGAAAGCAUGGGGAGCGAACAGGAUUAGAUACCCUGGUAGUCCACGCCGUAAACGUUGGGCACUAGGUGUGG